GGGAAUGUGGCUUAGUGGUAGAGUGCUUGCCUAGCGUGCAGGGAGCCCUGGUUCGAUUCCUCAGACCCA
rnacentral:tRNA from 1 species